UACGGAGGGUGCAAGCGUUAAUCGGAAUUACUGGGCGUAAAGCGCACGCAGGUGGCUGAGUCAGUCGAUUGUGAAAGCCCUGGGCUUAACCUGGGAAUUGCAGUCGAUACUACUCAGCUAGAGUAUGGGAGAGGGCAGUGGAAUUCCCGGUGUAGCGGUGAAAUGCGUAGAUAUCCGGAAGAACACCGGUGGCGAAGGCGGCCUGCUGGGCAGUGGCUGACGCUGAGGCGCGACAGCGUGGGGAGCAACAGGAUAGAA
rnacentral:rRNA from 1 species